rnacentral:rRNA from 1 species
GACGAACGCUGGCGGCGUGCCUAAUACAUGCAAGUUGAGCGAUGAAGAUUGGUGCUUGCACCAAUUUGAAGAGCAGCGAACGGGUGAGUAACGCGUGGGGAAUCUGCCUUUGAGCGGGGGACAACAUUUGGAAACGAAUGCUAAUACCGCAUAACAACUUUAAACAUAAGUUUUAAGUUUGAAAGAUGCAAUUGCAUCACUCAAAGAUGAUCCCGCGUUGUAUUAGCUAGUUGGUGAGGUAAAGGCUCACCAAGGCGAUGAUACAUAGCCGACCUGAGAGGGUGGCCGGCCACAUUGAGCAUGAGACAAGGCCCACACUCACACAGGAGGCAGCAGUAGAGAAUCUUCGGAAAUGGACGAAAGUCUGCCCGAAGAACGCCGCGAGAGUGGAGAAGGUUUUCGGAUCGUAAAGCUCGGUUGGUAGAGAAGAACGAUGGUGAGGGUGGAAAGCUCAUCAAGUGACGGUAACUAAACAGAAAGGGACGGCUAACUACGUG